rnacentral:rRNA from 1 species
UACGGAGGGGGCGAGCGUUAUUCGGAAUUAUUGGGCGUAAAGGGCGCGUAGGCGGCCUUGCAAGUCAAAGGUGAAAUCCCUCGGCUCAACUGAGGAACUGCCUUUGAAACUGCAUGGCUUGAGGCCGGGAGGGGGUAGCGGAAUUCCCAGUGUAGGGGUGAAAUGCGUAGAUAUUGGGAGGAACACCAGUGGCGAAGGCGGCUACCUGGACCGGUUCUGACGCUGAUGCGCGAAAGCGUGGGUAGCAAACAGG